rnacentral:rRNA from 1 species
CACGGGAGCAUCCUGGUGGCGAGUGGCGAACGGGUGAGUAAUACAUGCGGAACGUGCCCUGUCGUGGGGGAUAACUAGUCGAAAGAUUAGCUAAUACCGCAUACGACCUGAGGGUGAAAGCGGGGGACCGUAAGGCCUCGCGCGAUAGGAGCGGCCGAUGUCUGAUUAGCUAGUUGGUGGGGUAAAGGCCCACCAAGGCGACGAUCAGUAGCUGGUCUGAGAGGACGAUCAGCCACACUGGGACUGAGACACGGCCCAGACUCCUACGGGAGGCAACAGUGGGGAAUUUUGGACAAUGGGGGCAACCCUGAUCCAGCAAUGCCGCGUGUGUGAAAAAGGCCUUCGGGUUGUCAAGCACUUUUGUCCGGAAAGAAAUCGCUUGCCCUAAUACGGCGGGGGGAUGACGGUACCAGGAGAAUAAGCUCCGGCUGACUACGUGCCAGCAGCCGCUGUAAUACGUAUGGUGCGAGCGUGGAUCGAAAUUACUGGGCGUAAAGCGUGCGCAGGCUGUUUUGUAAGACACGCGUGAAAUCCCCGAGCU